GACGAACGCUGGCGGCGUGCUUAACACAUGCAAGUCGAACGCUGAAGACCUGGCUUUUGUUGGGUUGGAUGAGUGGCGAACGGGUGAGUAACACGUGAGUAACCUGCCCUCUUCUUUGGGAUAACGCCCGGAAACGGGUGCUAAUACUGGAUAUUCACUGAUCUUCGCAUGGGGGUUGGUGGAAAGGUUUGUUCUGGUGGGGGAUGGGCUCGCGGCCUAUCAGCUUGUUGGUGGGGUGAUGGCCUACCAAGGCUUUGACGGGUAGCCGGCCUGAGAGGGUGACCGGUCACAUUGGGACUGAGAUACGGCCCAGACUCCUACGGGAGGCAGCAGUGGGGAAUAUUGCACAAUGGGCGAAAGCCUGGUGCAGCGACGCCGCGUGAGGGAUGGAGGCCUUCGGGUUGUAAACCUCUUUCGCUCAUGGUCAAGCCGCAACUGUGGGUUGUGGUGAGGGUAGUGGGUAAAGAAGCGCCGGCUAACUACGUG
rnacentral:rRNA from 1 species